GACGUAGGGUGCCAGCGUUGCUCGGAAUUACUGGGUGUAAAGGGUUCGUAGGCGGUGUGGCAAGUCGGGAGUGAAAUCUCUGGGCUUAACUCAGGGGCUGCUUCCGAAACUGCCGUGCUAGAGUGUGGGAGAGGCGAGUGGAAUUGCAGGUGUAGCGGUGAAAUGCGUAGAUAUCAAGAGGAACACCUGAGGUGAAGACGGGUUGCUGGGCUGAUACUGACGCUGAGGAGCGAAAGCUAGGGUAGCAAACGGG
rnacentral:rRNA from 1 species